UCAUGAACCCUUUUUGGGAAAUUUUGACAACCUUCGCCUAGAUAGAUUUAGUGGCUUAUAAUUUUUGGGGAAAAACAAAUAAAAAUAAUGGAAAGAGAAUUUUUUAUUUGAAUAUGAAAAGAACAAAAGACUAAAUUUAUGGGGGAGAGAGUGUUACAGCAAAAUAUGGAUGAAAUUUGUGUCACUUCAUCCCCUAUUUAUAAUACUAAGAAACCUAGCCUAUUCCUAAUUAAAUUCUAAAAGAUAAAUACAAAUAAAUAAAGAUAAUUAAAGAUAAUUAAAAAUGAAAAUAAAUCUUAAAAUUAAAUUUAAAUAAUAAUCCUAAUAUAAUUAAACAUUAAAUAGAGUCUUGUACUAUAAAAUCUCUUCUUUUGCACUUUUGCCCUAUAUCUUCCAUACUUGCAUUUUUGGCACCACCUUUUUCCCUAUGUCUCAUGUUGGCCUAUUGUAUCUUCAAAUUUUCACUUUUUGCCUCCAAUUUAGUCCCUGAAACAUAAAAGACCAUAAAUAGCUCAAAUUAGUAGGGUCAUACUCAAAAUAAACAUGCAAUUAGCACAUAAAAAUAUGUCAUUUUAAAGUAUUAUCAAAUUCCCCCUACUUAGCCCAUGCUUGCCCUCAAGAAUGGUUCCUAUCCACUGUGAAGUUUAGAAAUUGCCAUUAAAGAAGUACCACUCCAAAAUUUUAUAAAAAUUAGUCAAAAUGCAUAUGAAAAAUAAAGAGAAACCUUAGCUUGCUUUAAGUAAAAUUGAAAAAGUAUUCCAAUUAACACACAUAAAAAUUAAGAUCGACUUGGAUUAUUUCAUGAAAAUUAGGUAAUUUACCAAACCUAUCAAGACACCCUAUUCGUUUCUACCUUUAGUCCCCACAUUUUAUUAAUACAUCUUUUUUUCUAUUUAUUUUUUUAAUUAAUUAAUUUACUUAUUGUUGCUUAAGAAUAUAUUGAACCUUUUGACACGAAGAGAGAUGACAGCCAAGCACCCCACCCCGGUUACUCAGUCGAAUAUACUCCUAAUUUUUAUUUUUCUUAAGAACAUAUCAAACCUUUUGACGCGAAGAGAGAUGACAGCCAAGCACCUCACCCCGAUUACUUAGCCCAACAUAUUCGUAAAAAUUAAUUCCAGUUAGCGGAAUUUUACCUAUCACGUCAUACAACCUUUUGAUGCGAAAUAGGAUGACAAUCGAAGCACCCUACCCCGGUUACUCAGCUAGUCACAUCUUAAGCUGCACUCAUAACCACAGAAACAUUAUUAUUAAAUGAAAUUUUAAUUUUGGAGGAAUUAGGAGCAACAAUCAAGUGUCAAAAAUAAGUUUCAACAAUCACCUUAAUAGUCAUGAACAUAUUUUAAGCAUGUAAUUGUAUUAAGUGUCCUCUUUUCAUUUAGACUUAAUCAAAUUUAAUAAAAGCAAAAUAGGAUUAACUCUAUUAAUCAUAAUUAUUUUAACAUAAUAUAAAUAAAAAUAGUGGAGAUGAAAUCAAUUAUAACAAAAUCAUAAUUUUCUCAGAAGACAAAAAUCAUGCUUGUAGGUCAAACAUGGGCAAUUACUGGUAAAAAUCUUGGGCAUGAAAAGAGGCAGAAUAUUCUAAAAAGUUAAAUAUGGGCAGAAACGAGCAUAAGGCAGCAACAACAGCAACAAAACACUAAAAAUAGUAGAUAAAUGAUAGAAAUAAUGAGGAAUGCCUCCCCCUACUUAAAACACAUUGUCCUCGAUGUGAAAGAAAAAAGAAAACAAAUAUUUGAAAGAAAAAUGUUUAGGAACACUCCCCAUGUAGUCACUGUAGUUCAUGCAUAGCUAGAAGGAGGAGAAGGUUCGGUGUCGCGUGGAGGAGAAAAAAGAGGGGAAGACGUUCAUCGGCUAAGUUGAUGUGUUAGAGCACCGAGAAGCGGUUGUUAAUGGUGAAGGGUGGUUUGGCGGUGGCUCGACUGCGGGUCCUUACCAUGGUUCUUGAAAAAUCGAUGGUGGGUGGGGUGAAAAAGAAGAUACGACGGCGACUGGUAGGGGUUUGUGUGAAAAAUGAGAUAAAUUGUAAGGGUUUAGGGGUGUAUAGGAGGGAUGUUUGGCUGCAGGGUAAGUGUUUGAAGGCGGGUUUUAGGUGGUCAUGGGGCAGGGACGCACUAUUCUUGGUUGGAAUAAGGAUAGAAUAAGGGCUGUUUGUUAAAGUAUGCCAAUUCCUAAGUUUUUUUUCGCCGGUUUACUUAGAUAGAAGAAGAGAAAUUUAUUAGCAUCCAAAAAAUAAAAUAAUAAAUAAUAAAAUAAAAAUAAAAAGAAAUAAUAAUAAUAAUAAUAAUAAAUAAAAAUUGGGUUGCCUCCUAACAAGCGCUUGUUUAACGUCGCUAGCUUGACGCCUCAACUAGUAUUGGGGCUAUUCUAGUUGAAUUCUUUCGUCCGUAUGGGCUUGGAAAUUCUUUUUUUUUUUACCACAUCCACCAUAUUCGGAUUCAACCAUCUUUAUGCCUCUCGCUUUGGUUUCGUGUUUUCCUCUAAGAAAAUCUUAUGUAUGCAUGUAAAGGGGUUAAUCUCUUUUAAGUCGACAAUGGUCUCAUCAUUCUUUAAAAAUAUGUGUUUGAGAUGCUCGGGAAGUGAUUUUAAUUUUAGAUCUGGUGCUUGCAUAACAGAAGGUAGAAGUUUAGUAUCCAUAGGAGCCAACAAUCUAUUAAUAGAAAAAUUAUCAAACAUCAUUUUAGAUUUAUCUUCUUAAGAUGACUCAAAAGUUUUUUCUACUAAUGAGUCAAUUAUGUCGACAGGGUUUACGUUCAAGAUUUCGCUUGGGUGACUAAUAGCAUCGUAAACAUUAAACUUCAUGAUCUCUUCGUCAAACUCCAUCGUGAGGGUUCCACUAUGCACGUUAAUCUUAGUAUUUUUAGUACUAAGGAAAAGUCGCCCCAAUAAGAUGUCUAAAGACACAAGAGCUUUGCCCUCUCCCAUUUUUAUCACAUAAAAAUCUACAAGAAAAAUAAGCUUGUUAACUUUCACAAAUACGUUAUCGGGGACUCCUUCGGGAUGCACAACAAACCUGUCUACCAACUGUAUGAUAACACAUGUUUUCGUAAAAAAAAAGCGUUAAAUGAUUCAUAAAUAGAAAAAGCCAUGACAUUUAUGGAGGCCCCUAAAUCACACAUAGCCUUUUUUAUCCCCAAGUGGCCUAUUUUGUAUGGUAUUGCGAACAUGCCCCUAUCUUUGUAUUUCGCUGGCAUCUUCUGCUGUAACACUGUGGAUACAUUUUCACCAAUGUUUACCCUUUCAUUACUUGUUAAUUUUCCCUUUUUAGUGCAGAGCUCUUUAAGAAACUUUGCAUAUCGCAAAAUUUGUUUAAUGACAUCCAACAGUAGUAUAUUGAUCUUUGCAUUUCUAAAUGCUUCGAGGAUCUCCUUGUCUUCUUUACCUUUACGACACUGGUAUAACCUUCCUGGAAAUGGAUGUUGAAUUUUAGGCAAUGGAGGUUUUGUUCAGACCUAUUCAUCAUUCUCUGGCUUUUCUUGGGCAAAAUCUUGGCCAAGAUUUCUGUCAAGAAUUGGUUUCAGUACCUUUCCACUUCGUAACGUCAUUGCAUUUGCGUGUUGUCUUGGAUUAGGUUCUGUUUGUGACAACAGCUUCCCUUGAGAGUUCAGUUUCUCAAUUGAUAUGGUCAAUUCUCCUAUAGAUGCCUUCGUUUCUUUUUGAAAAUUAAGAGUUUGCUGUUGGAAAUCAAAAACAUUAGCUGCUAAUUUGUUAACCAUAGUUUCUAGAAAAGUACCUGAAUCUCGUGGUUGUUGUGGAAACUCAUUUUGGUAUGGCUGAUUAUACCGUGAGUUGGCCCCAUAACUCAAGUUAGGAUGGUCCCUCCAUCCUGAGUUAUAGGUAUUAGCGUAGGGGUCAUAUCGCCUUUGUGGUGGUCUAAGGAAGUUUCCCACAAUAUUCAAAUAAGCCAUAGUAUCAUCAUACAAACUAAGGCAUGCAUAUGUUGUAUGUUCAGGAAUAGCACAGAUUCUGGAUAGCCGGCUAGUUUUACUUUUUUUGCAACAAGAGAAUUCAGAAUAUUAGCAAGUCUAUCAACUUUAUCUUCUAAGGUCGAAUUACUUAGCUGAUAAACCCUUCUAGGGGGCUUAGGAUCGGCUCAGAAUUACUGAGUAUUUACAGCUAUCAUGGAUAUCAAGUCCCUUACUUAUUGGGGAGUCAUGUUGACCAACGCUUAUCCACUAGCAGCAUCUACCAUAUUCAUCUCUAUGGGUUUCAAGCCUUCAUAAAAAUAAUGGAGAAGAGAUUGUUCCGUUAUACCGUGUAGUGGGCAGCUCGUACACAGCUUCUUAAUUCGCUCCCAGUAGUCGUAAAGAAACUCUGCUUCUUUUUGCCUUAUUCCAACGAUCUCCCUUCUUAACUCUACUGCUCGUGAUAUUGGAAAAAACCUGUUGAGAAAUAAACGAGAAAGAUCAGCCCAAGUUGUAAUAGAUCCAGGAGGUAAAUAAAAUAGUCAUUCCCUAACUAAAUCUACUAGGGAAAAAGGGAAAGCACACAAUUUAAUUUGAUCCUCAGUUACCCUUUGAGGUUUCAUACUAAGGCAAACCAUAUGGAACUCUUUUAAAUGUUUGUGGGGAUUUUCAUUUUGCAACCCACGAAAAGUUGGCAGUUGUUGGAUUAAGCUUGACUUUAAUUCAAAAUCAGUAUCCAUUGUAGGAUACACAAUGCACAAUGGCGGUUGUUCUGUCAGAGCUUCGACUAGUUGCUGAAUUGUUUGAGCCAUUAGUUGAUGUGUUAGAUUCGGGUUUUCGUUAACCCUAGCGUUAAGCACUUCUAGGGAAUCGACUUCUAAUUUUUCACUUUCAAAUGUUUGAGUAGGCUUUUUGUUAACCCUAGACUUUACUUCGUCGUAAAUUCUGAUUUCUGAUGGUGGGUUACUAUGAGUCCCAACCACUUUUGACUGCUUUUUCCGUAACUUUGUCUCAUUGCGAUUGGUUCUCGCAAUCUUCUUUAUUUCUGAAUCAAACGCAAGAGUACUUAGAGCAGAUCUGAUUUAUAAGAAACAAAGAGCAAGAUUAGUAUAUUACCGAUUCUCGGCAAUGGCACCAAAAUUUGAUGCUGUCGUUGAGAGUACCGAAAUUAUCAUAUCCUUAUAAAAUAUUAAAAACAAAAAAUAAUAGUAUAAGGGAAAUAGCGCCAAAUCCUCAGGGACAGGAUUUGUACAAUUGCUUGUUUCUCAAAAUCCUGGUCAGAAUCGUGUCCAAGAAAACCUGCGUACCUGAAAAAGAAAUAAAAAAACAGAAUUAAAAGUUUUGAUCUCGAAAAAUAAAAUAAAAACAAAAUUAAAAGUUUUGACUAAAAUUUUAAAAAUUAAAAAUAAUAUAAAUAAAUAAAGUUGAGGAAAAUGUGUUCUUAUAGAGAGAUUUCAGCCUCCGAUUGUCUCGAUCCGUCUUGGGUUCAAUUCUCGACUUUUAAGUGAUCCUUCUCAAACAAAAUAAGCAAGUUAUAAUGGAAGAGGACACCUACGACCACUAACUCCAAGAAUUUAGACUUACAAUUUGGCGGAACCUGACUUUAACUAAUAAUUGCUUCUGUGGGAUUAUCUUAUGCUAGAUCAUCACUUCUCAAUGGCGAAUCUCAUGCCAUUUUGUCUCUUGAGCUCGCCAACCUCUGACGCAGUAAGCUAACGAACCAACUGUGCAACCUUCCCAAAACAUACAAAACGGCCACCUUUGCACACGUUGAAAAGUUCACCUUUGAAGGAAUAUGGACGGAAGCAUCAGCCCCGUAAUGCGAAGAAGCAAUAAAUAUUUGUUGAGAAGGCUAAGUAUGGAUACUAAGCCUCAUGAACCCUUUUUGGAAAAUUUUGAUAACCUUCAGCUAGAUAGAUUUAGUGACUUAUGAUUUUUAGGGAAAAACAAAUAAAAAUAAUAGAAAGGGAAUUUUUUAUUGAAAUAUGAAAAGAACAAAAAGGCUAAAUUUAUGGGGGAGAAAGUGUUACAGCAAAAUAUGGAUGGAAUUUGUGUCACUUCAUCCCCUAUUUAUAGUACUAAGAAACCUAGCCUAUUCUUAAUUAAAUUCUAAAAGAUAAAUACAAAUAAAUAAAGAUAAUUAAAGUUAAUUAAAGGUAAAUGAAAAUAAAUCCUAAAAUUAAAUCAAAAUAAUAAUCCUUAAUAAUUAUCCUAAUAUAAUUAAACAUUAAAUAGAGUCUCGUGCUGUAAAAUCUCUUAUUUUGCACUUUUGCCCUUUAUGUCUUUCAUACUUGCAUUUUUGGCACCACCUUUUUCCCUAUGUCGCAUGUUGGCCCAUUGUAUCUUCAAAUUUGCACUUUUUGCCCUUAAAAUUUCUUUUGCCUCCAAUUUAGUCCGUGAAAGAUAAAAGACCAUAAAUAUCUCAAAUUAGUAAGGUCAUACACAAAAUAAACAUGCAAUUAGCACAAAAAAUAUGUCGUUCUAGAGUAUUAUCAGAUGGCUACUUAUACAGAAGAGGAAAUUGUUGAAACGUUGAAAGGAAUGGGGCCUACAAAAGCUUUAGGUCCAGAUAGUUUUCCGACAGUAUUUUACCAAUAGUAUUGACAUAUUAUUGGUAAAAAUACUAGAGUUUUCUAUUUGGAUAUUUUGAAUAAUGGCAAAUCUUUAAAAGAAAUAAACAGAACUCAGUUGGUUUUAAUUCCAAAAAUUGAAAAUCCUCUCAAUUUGAAAAAUUUUCGUCCUAUUAGCCUCUGUACGGUUAUCUAUAAGAUUAUUUCCAAGUCAGUUUCUAACCGUUUACAAAAGGUACUAGAUAUCUAUAUUAAUGACUUUCAAAGUGCUUUUGUGCUGGUAGGCUUAUAACUGACAAUGUGUUGUUGGCGUAUGAGGUACUUCACUCUUUCAAGAACAAAAGAUCAGGGAAAAAAUUAUUUAUGGCUCUAAAGCUGGGUAUGAGCAAGGCUUAAGAUCAAGUGGACUAGCAUUUUCUUAAAAGUAUGAUGUCAAAAUUGGGCUUUGUCGAUCCAUUUAUUUAUUUUAUAUUUCACUGUAUUAUUCGGUCCAUUAUUCAAUUUUACUUAAUUGUGAAGAAGGUUUUAGUUUCAAUCCAUUAAGAGGGCUACGUCAAGGGGAUCCUUUAAGCCCUUACUUAUUUCUGUUCUGUGGAGAAGGGGAUCCUUUAAGCCCUUACUUAUUUCUGUUCUGUGGAGAGGGUUUAUCUGCACUGAUGAGACUUGCAAGCCAGGAAAGGAAAAUUUUAGGAGCAAAGGUAUGUAAAUCUUCCCCACCAAUAACCCACUUCAUGUUUGUAGAUGAUUGUAUACUGUUUGUAAAGGUUUCAGAUAGGGAGAUUAAUGUGAUUAGAGAUAUUCUAAGAGAAUAUGAAUUUUGCUCGGGCCAAUGUGUAAACUUUGAAAAAUCCACGAUUUUUUUUUUCAAUUUGAAUGUGGAUGAUUAGGAUAAGAACUUGGCUUUCCAAGUACUUAAUGUUCGCUGUUUGAUUGAUCUAGAGAAAUAUUUGGGGUUACCGAAUAAGGUGGGUCAAAGAAGGAAAAUGGCUUUCCAAGCCUUGAAGGACAGAUUGAAGCAGAAGAUUAAUAGCUGGAAUAUAAGAUAUAUCUCAUAAUGUGGCAAAGAGGUAUUUAUUAAAGCCGUUUUACAAGCAAUUCCUACAUACACGAUGUCUUAUUUUCUUUUGCCAAAAACUUUUUGUGUGGAGACAGAAUAUAAUAGGGCCCUUUUGGUGGAAAAAAAUCAAGGGAAGAGAGGAAUGCAUUGGUGUGACUAGAAGUCGUUAUGUGCGCUUAAGAAAGAGAGUGGUAUGGGGUUUCGUAAUUUGAAUUUUUUUAAUAUUGCAUUACUGGCCAAAAAGGGUUGGCAUUUGUUACAUAAUCCUAAUUCAUUACUAGCGCGUACUUUGAAGGCCAAGUAUUUUAAGGAUUUAGAUUUUUUAAACUCCAGGUUAGAAAAUUUACCUUCUCUUACCUGGCAGAGUUUAUGGACUGCAAAAGGGCUCCUUCUGAAAGGUUUGGGUUAGAGAAUUGGCAAUGGGAAGAAUGUCUCUAUCUGGGGGGAUGCAUGGGUUCCUAGAGGUUAUGAUUUCAGAGUUCAUAACUUGAAUACUAAUUGGAGUAUAUCAACAGUUGCAGAUUUAAUUGAUGGCAAUACAGGAGAAUAAAAAACCGAACUGAUCUAUAAUACCUUUUUGGAGAAGGAUGCAGAGAGGAUCUUAUGUAUUCCUUUGUUUAUGAAUCUACAUGAGGACCAUUUAAUCUGGCGCGGUAAGCCGACGGGGGAGUAUACGAUUUGUAGCGGGCACAAAUUUCUUUUACGUGAUAGACAGAAUCAAAUACAAUCUAACUACAGACAAUUUUACAAAAGAUUGUGGAGCUUAGAUUUACCCUCAAAAAUUAAAGUUACAAACUGGAGGUUAUCUUGUAACAGUUUGCCUACUUUCUGUAAUAUGCAUUUUAGAAGACUGCUGGGAUCCGCAACUUGUCGAAGGUGUCAGAAUGGAGCGGAAACGAGAGAGCAUUUGUUCAGGGAGGCAAAGGAGACAUGGGAGAAGUUAGUUGUUACCUGGCCUAUUACAGAGGAAAAUACAUAUUUCAAAGGAUGGUUUAAAAAUAUUUUUUAGUCAAACUCUCUGGUUAAGUGCAGGAUGAUAACAUGUGCUUUGUGGGCAAUUUGGACAUCAAGAAACAGAUUCAUUCAUAAAGGAGAAAUAAAAUCGAGUUCUCAAAUUAUAGAUUUGGCGAGUAACUACCUAAAAGAAUUGGAUGGGUUGAAUACAAACUUACCUGCGAGAUAGUUUCAUAUGGGUAGAUGGGUCGCUCCGAAUGGUUUGAGGUUAAAAAUCAAUUUUCAUGCGGCGUUCAACAAGCAAAAAAAUGAGUCAUGCUCUGGGUUAGUGGUACGAAACGAAAAAGCAGAAGUGAUUUGUACAAAAACAGUUAUGCAUGUGAAUAACCAUCUGUUUUUGUAGCAGAAGCGAUGGCGUGUUUUUAGGAGCUCAAUCUUGAGUUAUAUCGCGGGCUGAGGGAGGUUGAGAUUGAAGGUGACUCCCGUUCAGUGAUCCAGAAACUGCAAGAGGAGAAAGAAGAUAGAUUAGAAAUUGAAGUUUUUAUAAAAGAUUCAAAGCAACUGAAUUUAGGUUUUCAGUUAUGCGUUUUUAGGUUUAUUCAUAAAGAAUCUUACAAGGUUGCUCAUCUCAUAGCUAAAGAGAGACUCCAAAAGAGAGAGAUUCUAAAAGAGAGAGACAACUUAUUUGUUGAAUAUCGUUACUUCUGGUGUGGAGGAAGCGGUGGUCGCUGAUCGAAGUUGGACGGUUUCCAUGAGGGAAUGAACCGUCUGGAUUGCUGAAGGAAAGUUUUGGAAAGGGGUUUGAAGAGUUAGGGGGUGUGGUGUUUUUCAAAGAUAUUUUCUGUGGGAAGUGAUAGCUGCUGUUGAAAAUUAAUGAAGAGUAAUGAUGAAGUCUAUGCGGCUUCCUAGGUGCUUUGUUGCUUUUGAGGAAAGGGGUUUUAAUAGAUAACAGCUAGUUGACGAUGGCUCUAGAGCGUCCACUUCUGCAAGUUGGAUCAUUGUGUUUGGGUUGUUUUAAUUUUGUUUUUGUUUUCUUUCUUUUUGGUUUUUGGGCCUGUUUCUAGGUUGAUUAACUGCUAAUGUUUGC
rnacentral:lncRNA from 1 species